UGAUUAUGAUGAUUUUUUUCCAUUUCAUUCGCGGUUUCCACCAGAGAAGCUCUUGUUUCGAAGAUGGGUCAUUGUCCUUCCUUGGAUGUCUGAAUCG